rnacentral:ncRNA from 1 species
UAAUCUCUGGAGAGUCCCCGUUUAUGGGGCGCCGAAGGUGUAAAGCAGCUGCGGGGAGCUGCCUAUCUCUCAGGCAAACGGACAGAGCA